AGAGUUUGAUCAUGGCUCAGGAUGAACGCUGGCGGCGUGCUUAACACAUGCAAGUCGAACGGAAAGGCCCAAGCUUGCUUGGGUACUCGAGUGGCGAACGGGUGAGUAACACGUGGGUGAUCUGCCCUGCACUUCGGGAUAAGCCUGGGAAACUGGGUCUAAUACCGGAUAGGACGAUGGUUUGGAUGCCAUUGUGGAAAGUUUUUUCGGUGUGGGAUGAGCUCGCGGCCUAUCAGCUUGUUGGUGGGGUAAUGGCCUACCAAGGCGUCGACGGGUAGCCGGCCUGAGAGGGUGUACGGCCACAUUGGGACUGAGAUACGGCCCAGACUCCUACGGGAGGCAGCAGUGGGGAAUAUUGCACAAUGGGCGCAAGCCUGAUGCAGCGACGCCGCGUGGGGGAUGACGGCCUUCGGGUUGUAAACUCCUUUCGCUAGGGACGAAGCGUUUUUGUGACGGUACCUGGAGAAGAAGCACCGGCUAACUACGUGCCAGCAGCCGCGGUAAUACGUAGGGUGCGAGCGUUGUCCGGAAUUACUGGGCGUAAAGAGCUCGUAGGUGGUUUGUCGCGUCGUUUGUGUAAGCCCGCAGCUUAACUGCGGGACUGCAGGCGAUACGGGCAUAACUUGAGUGCUGUAGGGGAGACUGGAAUUCCUGGUGUAGCGGUGGAAUGCGCAGAUAUCANGAGGAACACCGAUGGCGAANNCAGGUCUCUGGGCAGUAACUGACGCUGANGAGCGAAAGCAUGGGUAGCGAACANGA
rnacentral:rRNA from 1 species